rnacentral:rRNA from 1 species
ACAGAGCCCGUGAAUCCGGACGCGCGGAAUUCAGGAUCGGCGACGACGUCGUCGAAAGCGGCGUCGUUUCGCGUCGAUUCGAUUUUUCCGUCGUCGACCCGUCAGCGGGUGCGGACGUCGCGACCCGUUCGUCGUCGGUCUCACGGGACGCGUUUCGAGUUCCGCGCGCGCGCGUUCGCGUUUUUUCCGUUCGCGGGAGAACGCGUCGCGUCGUGCGGAGGGCGCGUUUCCAGCCGGGCCGACGUCGCGGACGGUAGACGAAUUGCGAGCGGGUAAUCGACGCGGCCGAACGGCGGCCGUUAGCGCGGUCGUCGGGUGCCGCGUCGACGCCGGUCAGCGACGACUCUUCGGGCCUCUUUCCGACCCGUCUUGAAACACGGACCAAGGAGUCUAACGUGCGCGCGAGUCGCGGGGUACUCGAGUCGCGCUCGUUUCGCGACUCGGCACGACAACGAAACCCGUUUUACGUACGCUGUGCGGAAGGCGUAAUGAAAGUGAAAGGCGACGACGCUUCGCCCGUCGCCGGGGAAGACGGUGUCCCGAGCGUAUACGUUUCUCGGCCUUUCGCGCCGAGACCGGGCGCCCGCAUUCCCGGGGCGUCUCGCCGGUCCGUCGGCGCGUGGGGCGUUACGCGCGUUCGCGCGCGGAACGCUCGCCGCCGACGAAUCGAGGCGCACCUAUAGCGUGCACGUUGGUACCCGAAAGAUGGUGAACUAUGCCCGGCCAGGAU